GACGUAGGGGGCGAGCGUUAUCCGGAUUCACUGGGCGUAAAGGGCGCGUAGGCGGCUACGUAAGUCCGGCGUGAAAUCCCACGGCUUAACUGUGGAACUGCGUCGGAUACUGCGUUGGCUAGAGGACGGUAGAGGCUAGUGGAACUAGCGGUGUAGCGGUGAAAUGCGCAGAUAUCGCUAGGAACGCCGGUGGCGAAGGCGACUGGCUGGGCCGAUCCUGACGCUGAGGCGCGAAAGCUAGGGGAGCGAACCGG
rnacentral:rRNA from 1 species